rnacentral:rRNA from 1 species
AAUAGAUACCCUGGUAGUCCACGCCCUAAACGAUGUCUACUAGUUGUCGGGGGGUAACUCCUUCGGUAACGCAGCUAACGCGUGAAGUAGACCGCCUGGGGAGUACGGUCGCAAGAUUAAAACUCAAAGGAAUUGACGGGGACCCGCACAAGCGGUGGAUGAUGUGGAUUAAUUCGAUGCAACGCGAAAAACCUUACCUACCCUUGACAUGCCACUAACGAAGCAGAGAUGCAUUAGGUGCCCGAAAGGGAAAGUGGACACAGGUGCUGCAUGGCUGUCGUCAGCUCGUGUCGUGAGAUGUUGGGUUAAGUCCCGCAACGAGCGCAACCCUUGCCAAUAGUUGCUACGAAAGGGCACUCUAUUGGGACUGCCGGUGACAAACCGGAGGAAGGUGGGGAUGACGUCAAGUCCUCAUGGCCCUUAUGGGUAGGGCUUCACACGUCAUACAAUGGCUGGUACAGAGGGUUGCCAACCCGCGAGGGGGAGCCAAUCCCACAAAACCAGUCGUAGUCCGGAUUGCAGUCUGCAACUCGA